CAUCUCUCUAUUCUCAACCUCUCUUUCUCUCUGACCUCCCCAUCUCAUCCUUAUGCUCUCAUCUCUCACAUCAGUAUCAUCAUCAUCUAGCAAAUCCAAACCAAGAUCAACUCAAAGUUCACAUGCAAUUGUAGAUUUGUAAUCCUUGAGUCUUGGGCUUUCAAGGAAGGAUCAAGGAGCCAUGGUUAAGGGAUUUGGAGCAAUUUAGAAGAAGAUUGGUGAAAUUCGUGUUCCUAGACAGACCUUCACUAAAACGGUCAGUACUCUCUCCUCGUAGCUCCGAUUUAAAUUUUGUUUGUUGCUAUGGAAAGCUAACGAAAUUCUCGUCAUUUUGGGUACAAGAUUCACUAUUUUUGGAUCAGUAUUAAUGUCUUAACAUGCUUCUGAAGUUGAGGGCUGAAGCUGUCAAAAUGGUCCCUUUUUCAAUUUUUUGUGUUUUCAUAAAUUUUUUACUUUGAUUUGUUUGUGAUUUUGUGAGUUUUUUAGUCAAUCCUAAGAUUGAGUUUCAUCUUGCAUAUGAGCUUCAAGGAUCAAGGAGCCAUGGUUAAGGGAUUUGGAGCAAUUUAGAAGAAGAUUGGCGAAACUCGUAUUCCCAGACAAGGCUUCACUAAAACGGUCAGUACUCUCUCCUCGUAGAUCGGAUUUAAAUUUCGUUUGUUGCUAUGGAAAGCUAAUGAAAUUCCCGUCAUUUUGGAUACAAGUUUCACUAUUUUUGGAUCAGUAUUGAUGUCUGAACAUGCUUCUGAAGUUGAGGGCUGAAGCUGUCAAAAUGGUGUUUUGAGGGCUGCGGGUUUGGGUACACAAAUGGCGCAAAUGGAUGAUUUUAGGCUUGCGAAACAACGCGGUACGACUGUCAAAUCAGGUGGGUUCCCUUAGAAAACGAUCACUUUAAUAGAUUAGGUUUAAUAGUUUUGAUUUUUCUGUUAUUAGUGUGAUUCUAAUUUGAUUUUACUAGAAUGAACCCCUUUUUCAAUUUUUUGUGUUUUCAUAAAUUUUUUACUUUGAUUUGUUUGUGAUUUUGUGAGUUUUUUAGUCAAGCCUAAGACUGAGUUUCAUCUUGCAUAUGAGCUUCAAGGAUCAAGGAGCCAUGGUUAAGGGAUUUGGAGUAAUUUAGAACACAAAAAGGGAUGUUGUAUGCUAUUCUUUUGUUCUUUUUCAAAUUGUUUUUCAUCUUUUUCUGGGUUUGGAAGAAAAUUUAGAUGGAUGAUGAUAAACAACAAUGAAUAUUGUUAUUGUCUAAUUUCAUUGCAAUAUUUGUUUUCUACUAUUUUCUAAACUUGAAUUCUUGAAUGAUAAUUGCAGGGUAAUGGAAUGGGUAGUUUCCGUACGAGAAGGAAAAAGACUCACACGCUCUGUGUUAGGUGUGGUUGUCGCAGUUUCCAUCCCCAGAAGAGUCCCUGCCCAGCAUGUGCUUAUCAAGAUAAUUGGAAUGAGAAGCUAUUAGGAUGCCUCGCAGAUUCAAGAGUAGAUUUAGAGAAGUCAAGCCUAAGAUUGAGUUUCAUCUUGCAUAUGAGCUUCAAGAAUCAAGGAGCCAUGGUUAAGGGAUUUGGAGCAACUUAGAAGAAGAUUGGUGAAACUCGUGUUCCUAGACAGGGCUUCACUAAAACGGCCAGUACUCUCUCCUCGUAGAUCCGAUUUAAAUUUCGUUUGUUGUUAUGGAAAGCUAACGAAAUUACCGUCAUUUUCGGUACAAGUUUCACUAUUUUUGGAUCCGUAUUGAUGUCUGAACAUGCUUUUGAAGUUGAGGGAUGAAACUGUCAAAAUGGUGUUUUGAGGACUGCGGGUUUGGGUACACAAACGACGCAAAUGGAUGAUUUUAGGCUUGCGGAACAACACGAGGGAAUAGGAUACGCUGUACUUUAUGGGAUGAUUAUGCUGUGAAAAUUCAGCAAUUUCUCGAUAGUCAUGACCCAUAUCUGCAUGUGAUAAUCAUACUUCAGUUGUGCAAACUUAAGAAAUUUCUUGGUAAGGAAAAUUUGAAUAAUUUGAAUUUGAUUUCUAGGAUUUGCAUCAAGUGAAUUUAUUUUUUCAUGCUCCAUUAGGUUCCAUGGAAAUUUCAAAUUCUUUCUAUGGAUCGGAAUCGUUCUUAAAUGCUGAGAUUCCUGAAGUAGCUAGCUAUAUAGAAAGAUGAAUGCUGCAAAUGUGGAGUUAACUCGAUUGGUUAGUCAAAUGACUGGACCUGCCGUCAUCAAUGUGGCUCAUGAUUUGCUGCAGACACCCAAGAUGACUAUUGAAGAUCUAAUUGAAUCUACUCAGGUUAAUGGAAAUUGUUGACUAAAAAUGGAGCAUGCAUAGAUCAUUGUAACCGAUACUGAGAUACUAUGUUUGUUGCAUUUUGAUUUUAUUGACAUAACAAAUAAUUCUCAAGAAGAUGCAGAAUCUGAGUUUCUUAUUCCAAAAAGUUGCUUCUGAAUUCUAUUGAUACUGUUGAGAAGGCUCUGCAUAAGAAUUGAUGAAACUUUCCCACAUUGAUGUCUAUGAGGUGAAGAAAAAAUUAGGAAAUUCUUGAAGCAUAGUUGAAGUUAAAGAGGGUUUUUAUCUGACAUUAGAAGUAGUGAUUUAGAGGUGAGGUAGAAAGGAAAUUUGGAUGAAAUCCUCUUCUAAUGAUAUUUCCAAUAUUCCAAUUGAUUCAUCCUUGGAUUUUGUACUCUUUCAUACGUUUGCAAUGUACAAGAAGAAUGUUUUAUCAAAUUGUAUAGUGAUUUCCUUA